rnacentral:lncRNA from 1 species
GUGUGUUUAAGUACAUUUUCCCUCCAGGCAAACCUUUCAGAUAUAUUGCCACUUUUGAAAAUCUUGGAUUUCAACCACUUUUAGCUUAAUAUCUGCUAGAAACCAUUGCUCAUUUUAUUGACUUAGUUGAAUUCACCAAAUAUUCAGUUUGGCAUACUUAUUCAAUAAAUGUCUACACAACACACGCUGGAUUUCCAGAAAGCGU